AACGAACGCUGGCGGCAGGCCUAACACAUGCAAGUCGAGCGAACCCUUCGGGGUUAGCGGCGGACGGGUUAGUAACGCGUGGGAAUAUACCCUUUGGUACGGAAUAGCCUCGGGAAACUGAGAGUAAUACCGUAUGUGCCCUUCGGGGGAAAGAUUUAUCGCCAAAGGAUUAGCCCGCGUUGGAUUAGAUAGUUGGUGGGGUAAUGGCCUACCAAGUCUACGAUCCAUAGCUGGUUUGAGAGGAUGAUCAGCAACACUGGGACUGAGACACGGCCCAGACUCCUACGGGAGGCAGCAGUGGGGAAUCUUAGACAAUGGGCGCAAGCCUGAUCUAGCCAUGCCGCGUGGACGAUGAAGGCCUUAGGGUUGUAAAGUCCUUUCAGAUGGGAAGAUAAUGACGGUACCAUCAGAAGAAGCCCCGGCUAACUCCGUGCCAGCAGCCGCGGUAAAGUCUGUACU
rnacentral:rRNA from 1 species